UCCUCUCUCACCAGCUGCCUCCCAGCCUCCCCAACCCCCUCCAUCCGGCCGGUAGUAGCAGAAGACGCCCGUGGCCUGACCUCGACCCUCUCGCUCCCACCCGCCUGGCCUGCGGUCCUUCCCUCCCUGGGGCCUGUGGGCGCACAGCUGGCCUCGCCGCACUCCCCCGGCACGCCCGGAGCCCGGCCCGGAGCGCACAGCUGAGGGCGGCCGAGUCAGGACGCUUCUCCUACGUUCCACCUCUGCACCGACCGGGUGGGGAGCAGGGCCUUGACUGCAGGAGUAAGGGCGGAGGCGCAGCGCAUCCGUGUGGUUCUCCACCCCAAGCCCUUGGGGGAACCUACGGCGCGCGCUCGCGGGUCGCCCGGGACCGGAGCGAAUCAACUUGGAAAACCAAAAAGGUUAGCCGACUGAGGCAGAGAAGAGGCCAGGAGCCUCAGGAAGGGCCGAGCUGGCAUUCCAACCCUGGAAUGUCCGACUGAAAUCUGGGCUGUUUUCCUGUCCACACCACCUCAUGUCCCCCACCUGGCUGCCCUUAAGAGCCAGCUCUUGCGUCUCACCCUCUCCGGGUCAGAUGCCACGCCAGGGGCUCUGCUGCCUGCCCAGAAGCAUCACGGGUGCACGCACAGGAGAGGAGACCGAGACUCAUGACGCUCGGCCAGGACGUGGCGGAGCCGGCGGGCUGGACUCAGGCCUCAGUCUCCCGAUCCGGCCUCGGCCCCAGACCCUGACACUGUGCUGCUGCUGACGUCAUCUGUCAGCUGCCUCUCUCUGUGCACACCUGAGUCACCCCAGCUGCCCCCA
rnacentral:lncRNA from 1 species